UGGGUUCGAGUCCCAGAGUGAACAUCAACUCUGAGAUGCAGGUACAUCCAGAUGACGAGUCUCGAAUA
rnacentral:tRNA from 1 species